rnacentral:rRNA from 1 species
UACAGAGGGUGCGAGCGUUGUCCGGAAUCACUGGGCGUAAAGGGCGCGUAGGUGGCGCUCCAAGUCGAUGGUGAAAGCUCGAUGCUCAACAUCGAGUCGGCCACCGAUACUGGAGGGCUCGAGCACUGUAGGGGCAGAUGGAAUUCCGGGUGUAGCGGUGGAAUGCGUAGAGAUCCGGAAGAACACCGAUGGCGAAGGCAGCCCCCUGGGAUGACACUGACGCUCAUACACGAAAGCGUGGGGAGCAAACAGG